ACUCCUACGGGAGGCAGCAGUGGGGAAUAUUGCACAAUGGGGGAAAGCCCUCGAUGCAGCCAUGCCGCGUGUGUGAAGAAGGCCUUCGGGUUGUAAAGCACUUUCAGUAGGGAGGAAGGUAGUGUAGUUAACACCUGCAUUAUUUGACGUUACCUACAGAAGAAGCACCGGCUAACUCUGUGCCAGCAGCCGCGGUAAUACAGAGGGUGCGAGCGUUAAUCGGAUUUACUGGGCGUAAAGCGUGCGUAGGCGGCCAUUUAAGUCAAAUGUGAAAUCCCCGAGCUUAACUUGGAAUUGCAUUCGAUACUGGAUGGCUAGAGUAUGGGAGAGGAUGGUAGAAUUCCAGGUGUAGCGGUGAAAUGCGUAGAGAUCUGGAGGAAUACCGAUGGCGAAGGCAGCCAUCUGGCCUAAUACUGACGCUGAGGUACGAAAGCAUGGGGAGCAAACAGGAUUAGAUACCCUGGUAGCGAGUAG
rnacentral:rRNA from 1 species